rnacentral:rRNA from 1 species
CGGAGCUUGCUCCACCGGAAAAAGAAGAGUGGCGAACGGGUGAGUAACACGUGGGUAACCUGCCCAUCAGAAGGGGAUAACACUUGGAAACAGGUGCUAAUACCGUAUAACAAUCGAAACCGCAUGGUUUUGAUUUGAAAGGCGCUUUCGGGUGUCGCUGAUGGAUGGACCCGCGGUGCAUUAGCUAGUUGGUGAGGUAACGGCUCACCAAGGCCACGAUGCAUAGCCGACCUGAGAGGGUGAUCGGCCACAUUGGGACUGAGACACGGCCCAAACUCCUACGGGAGGCAGCAGUAGGGAAUCUUCGGCAAUGGACGAAAGUCUGACCGAGCAACGCCGCGUGAGUGAAGAAGGUUUUCGGAUCGUAAAACUCUGUUGUUAGAGAAGAACAAGGAUGAGAGUAACUGUUCAUCCCUUGACGGUAUCUAACCAGAAAGCCACGGCUAACUACGUGCCAGCAGCCGCGGUAAUACGUAGGUGGCAAGCGUUGUCCGGAUUUAUUGGGCGUAAAGCGAGCGCAGGCGGUUUCUUAAGUCUGAUGUGAAAGCCCCCGGCUCAACCGGGGAGGGUCAUUGGAAACUGGGAGACUUGAGUGCAGAAGAGGAGAGUGGAAUUCCAUGUGUAGCGGUGAAAUGCGUAGAUAUAUGGAGGAACACCAGUGGCGAAGGCGGCUCUCUGGUCUGUAACUGACGCUGAGGCUCGAAAGCGUGGGGAGCAAACAGGAUUAGAUACCCUGGUAGUCCACGCCGUAAACGAUGAGUGCUAAGUGUUGGAGGGUUUCCGCCCUUCAGUGCUGCAGCUAACGCAUUAAGCACUCCGCCUGGGGAGUACGACCGCAAGGUUGAAACUCAAAGGAAUUGACGGGGGCCCGCACAAGCGGUGGAGCAUGUGGUUUAAUUCGAAGCAACGCGAAGAACCUUACCAGGUCUUGGCAUCCUUUGACCACUCUAGAGAUAGAGCUUCCCCUUCGGGGGAAAAGUGACAGGUGGUGCAUGGUUGUCGUCAGCUCGUGUCGUGAGAUGUUGGGUUAAGUCCCGCAACGAGCGCAACCCUUAUUGUUAGUUGCCAUCAUUCAGCUGGGCACUCUAGCAAGACUGCCGGUGACAAACCGGAGGAAGGUGGGGAUGACGUCAAAUCAUCAUGCCCCUUAUGACCUGGGCUACACACGUGCUACAAUGGGAAGUACAACGAGUUGCGAAUUCGCGAGGCUAAGCUAAUCUCUUAAAGCUUCUCUCAGUUCGGAUUGCAGGCUGCAACUCUCCUGCAUGAAUCCGGAAUCGCUAGUAAUCGCGGAUCAGCACGCCGCGGGAAUACGUUCCCGGUUCUUGUACACACCGCCCGUC